rnacentral:tRNA from 1 species
UAGCUCAGUUGGUAGAGUAUUUGCCUUGCAUGCACAAGGCCCUGGGUUUGAUCCCCAG